GGUAGCUUCUCACAUAACCUACUAUCAAUCUCUCUCAUUCACGUUUUAUUCCAUAAAAGUUUACACAUGUGCACUGAGUUUCUGAUUUUCAUUUUUUUUUUUACUUUUUACAUAUGAUUCAUCCUCAUCCCACAAUCACAGCUCUCUCACGGGAGGAUAGGGAAAAAUACAUAACACCUGUAUCUUGCUCUCCAAGAUUUUUUGGGGUCAUUCUUAUCCAUAUACACACAUACACAUCAGACACACACCAGGGAUCCUUCCUACUCAUUUUCCUCUCCGUUACCAAUAUAUAAGCACACACCCAGUUCAUUAUAGGGGGGACGAGAGAAAACGAGAGAGAAAGGGGGCGCAUUAUGAGUAAAAAUUGUCAGUAGCAGCCAAGACUCUCCUUUCUUCUCCAACUUAGCGUGGCCAUGAAAACUAGUAAAAACCUCCCAUAACUCCAGCAUCUAUCUUCCAUGAAAACACCAAUUCCCACCAUGAAACUCCAUAGAGCUGACCAUCACUGUCCACCCCCAAACUCCGGUUGAAAAACAGCUUCAAACACAACUAGAUCUCUAGCAAAACAACCCCCCAAAACCAGCCACUAAAUAGCCACAAAACAAUUCGUUUGAGUUUAAGUUCGAGACUUCCUUGUUCGAGGUUGUCGUCGUCAAAUUUUCCUGUCAGUUGAGUCUUCCGUUGGUUCCCAGGCGAGGUUUCGUCAUUGGCAAGGUCCCCGAUCUGAGAUCAGUGAGGGUUCCCGGCGAGGUUCUUUUUGGCUUCGAGUCAGAGUUUCCCUCUUUUCUGCUUUUGGAUAAUCGACAUGAUUUUCUGUACGUUGGCUUGGAGUUUUCUGCUAAUAUAAGGUCCCCUUUCUCUUCUUUAACAUGCUUCUUAGUUCCAUGAUAUUUGCUACAGUUUUAUUUGCCGAAUGAAAGUUAGAUGAUAUUCUUGCUAAAACUUGAUUACUAUAGUAUGUCUAAGUCACGUAUCUAUCUAAGAAUUUUCAUGGGUUAGAUGUAUAUUUUUAGUUUUUAUGAGUUUGAAAGUCAUGUGUAGAAGUAGGAAGGGCUAUUUCCUUUGUUAAAAUUGAAAUAAAGUAAUCUGAAAUUUGUUAAAGAGAAGUAGAUUUGUGUCUGCUAACAGAGGUUGAAAUAAGGUGUGGGUUUAGUGAAAAUGACAGCCGUUGGGAUAAUUUUGAACUUAAAAGGAUCUGGGCUAAAAUUCAUGAGUCCAAAACGUUCUUCUCCAUUUUUUGUGUUGCAUAUUUCCAAAUAACCGAAUCAUACCAUUUCUUCCCACAAUAAUUUUCAUAACUCUUAGAACUGUCGCAAAUAAUCUCAAACUUAGGAAACUAAUCAAUUUACAAACACUCGUAAGAUGCUUUAGGCGCGUUCUAAUCUAUUAUCGUAUUUGUGUACACGUUCGUGUGACAUAAUUAUGAUUCCAAAAAAUAAAAAAAGGUACGCGUUCGCGUGACUUUAGCUAAAAACAAUCUUCAUAAUUAAUAAAGCGUGAUUAAUUGUGUAGACGUACGCGUGACAUGAUUUUAGCGCACUAAAUAAAGCGGAUUCACACACAUGUGGUUCCGUUUCACAGAUUAAAUCCAUUACGCCAUAAUUAAAAGCGGUAAAAAGGUAAAUGUACAUAGGUUCUAAAAUAAGUAAUUAAACAAAUUAAUUAAGCUAGGUAUGAUUAAAGCGACCGUGCUAAAACCACGGAAUCCGAGAAUGCCUAACACCUUCUCCUAGGUUAACAGAAUUCCUUACCCGGUCUUCUGAUUUUCGCAGACUUUAAACAUAGUCAAAUUUCCUCGAUUUGGAAUUUUAAAAUAAAUCAGUGACUUGAGACACCAUAAUAAUUAUUUCAAGUGGCGACUCUAAUUAAUUAAAUAAUCUCAUUUCGAAUAAUGUCACUUUAAUUGGAAAAACUCCCUAUCCCCUCGGAAAAAAGGAGGUGUGACAACGACUAGUUGGAUUUUGGGUCAUGACAAGUUGAUAUCAGAGCUCUAGGUUUGUAAGUUCUAUAAGUCAUGAGCAAGUGUCUAGUAGAGUCUUGAGGAUCGGUAUGAUGACGUCCACACCUAUCUUCGAGAGGCUACAGGGCAUUUAGGAUAAAUUUUUCAUCUUUCUUUCCUUAUCGUACGGCAUUGAUUCAGCUUGAAGCGUAACUCUUUGAAUUCCUUCCAUGCACUCGUAUGCGCAUGUGAGCGCUCGGUAUCAGCUGUGCAUCAACGGCUUGUGAUUUCAUGGAUGAGGUACGAGAGGUAAUUUUGGUGUGCUGGUGAUGGGCCAGUAUGGAGGACUUGAGGCCGGGUUUUGACUGUAGCUUGAGCACGGGGAUUUCGGUUGUGUGAGCAUGUGCUUUUGAACUUAUAAGUCUGGUAGUGUCCCUAUUAGUGAAAUUUGUGGCUCGAUGAGUGGUUGGAUGGCUAAAUGAUGAGUAUGAUAUGACUGCGGGAUGUGUUAAGAUGAAUUAAAUGUGACGAGAAGAGUUUGCUUGAGAUAUAAAAAGGACUAUUGGGUGCUUGAUUUCUGUCUUGAUGUGACGUAUAGUCUCGAGUUAUGAGUGUAUUCGAGGAUCUUUCAUGUUAUUUAAAUGUGGAAUGAAUUAGGUUCUCAUGCCUUGUUGGUGAGUUCAGACUCAGGAAGAUUAAGUGAUUGCAUAGUAGUUGUGCCUGUGAAAGGGUAUAAAGAGAUGUCAGUUUGAGGCUAAGCAGGUGGGUUGUAACCUACGAGAUAAUCUACGGAUGUGUGAUUUUUAUGAUGUUGUGUGGAGGCUUGUUUUUCUGACAAUGGGUUAUAUUUGUGCGAUUUGAGUUUGGAUGAGUUGUAAUAGUUGACCUGACCGUCACGAGGAUGAAUGCAAGAUUUGCAGAUGAUUUGAGGUAUUAGAUGGAUUUUGUUAUAUGAGCUUAUAAAGGAUUUAGUUGAAUCUCACUGCGGUAUUAUGGAAGUAAUGAGGUAUGGUUAUUGUAAGUUAUCAGAUGUUUUAUUCCAUGGAUUUGAGCUAAGUGGGGGAGUCUUCUAUUCGACUGGUUGAUUGCAUAAUUAUGUAUUGUAUUGGUUUCGGUUUGAGGUAUACUUGUGAAUCGGUUAUGACUUGCAGAGGUUGAGAUCGAGGAUGACUCGAGAAAGGGAACUUCUGGAUACGGGUUGUAUUACACUCUAUGGGUAUAUGGAAAUCAUGGAAUGAUUUGAGUUGUUAUUCGUGACGGAUGUAGUGCGCAUGGUAUAGGUAUUUGCUCGGUUGCAUUAAGGCGAGGUUACUUCAUUGGGUGUUGUCGUGCUAAUGGGGCACAAGUCGUUCGGCCCGUUUGGGCGGUGCAAUUGAGAUUUGAGUAGAGUGAAUGACUCUCGAGGAGGUCCUAAUAGAUUCAAGAUUAUAUGCAGUAAUUGAGAAUUUUUUGGAUUUGUAUAUGGUUAAGAUCUGAGAUUCACAUUGGAUGGAGCCAGGACUUGCGGUAUUUCUGUAUCACUAUGGAUUCUGCAUUUCAGUAUCAGGAAUGUGAAGUUAACGGCUUUAGGUUCACAAAAGGUCUUUUCAGAUUGGGUGUCUCGGUUUUGGUACUUUUGGGGUGCUUAAGAAGGAAUACAACUGCUUAUGGCCUUUAGACCGUGUGGUUUUAUGUUAGGAACUCUUGUGGUGAGGUUUGGGUAAGGAUCGUGAUGUUCUAGCAAGGAGAAGUGUCACCUUGAGGGUAAUUCAGAAGGAACUCGGAGAAAUGGGACAACUUGGUAGUAGGUUGGAUCAGCACGACAAUGGAUACGAUCGGUUCUUUGGGUACUUAUGAUGUGGUGAGUGUCUACAGGUGUUUGUGGCAAUACUGGUUUGGCGACCUGCAUAGCUUGGUUGAAUGAGGGAGGUUCAGUUCUGGUGGCUUCGUUAUGUGCAAAUGGGUUCCAAGGAGUUCUCGAUGGUUUUUACCACGGUUUGAGAUGGAUAUUUUCUACCGGAGUGAGGAGCAUGUUGUGUAUUGUGAUUUUCUCCUGGAUGGGAUCAAAUAGAAGGUUUUCGAAUGACCGGGAAUGUAUUUUUCUUGUGACUCAGAGUUGAUUAUGAGAUUCUCGUACUUUUCAUAUGAUGGCAUGAUAGAUGCGGUGUGUUGUGUGGGAUUGAGAUUUGCAUGUGCAAGGUCACAGUUAAGUUUUGAAGGGAAGGUCAUGAAUUCUUAGGUAACAUGGACGGUUUCAAAUGACUAGAUGAAUAAUAUUACUACUUGGAAUUGCCUGAGCAGAGUGUACAUUUAGAAGACACGCUACAUUUUGACCUAUGGAUGCUUCAUUGGUAUUGUGGUACUCGUCUGGUUGAUCGACUGUUGAUGUUCGAAUUUUGCUAUGUGGCACGGAAGAAUUAUGAAAGUAUUUCUCGUAGAAAGAUUAUGUAUGAAGGAUGUAUCAGUCACUUGAGUGGUGGAGAUGGGAUCAUAUAUGGUGAUUCUUUUGUAUUUUGGUAGUUUGGAGACUGGAGUCUCAGAGGCAGAUUGUUCCUUGGUUGCAGACUGUGAAGGUAUGGCCAAAGUCAGAUAUCUAAUAGUAGGUGUUAUGGUUAGGCCAUUGAGGACUUCUGGAGGGUUAUUUAUCUAUCUAUGGAUGGCCGAAUCAAUUUGGGGGCCCAUUGGUAGGCCAAUGAGGAUGUGUAUUCUACACCGGGUCGGAUUUGUUGACUCAGCACGGUUAGUGUUGAGGGGUGAAUAAUUCGAUUAGAUUUGAGCUUGUUCAAGUUCUGAUAUGUUCUAUGUGUUACUCAUCUAUGCUACGAGGGAUGGUGAUUCAUUGAUUAUAUGCACACAUGGUGCAGUUCAGUUUGGGCCUUAUAGCGGAAUUUGAGCGAGAUAGGUAUUAGGGUGUUGAAUGAUUGAUUGCGCAUUGGUUAUGUUCUUUAUGGACUGUGGUAUAUAGUGUUAUUCGCCUCUUCAUGGUUAUAGCCAAGCACUUUGUGUACUUGAUGUCAAAUUGCAUGUAGUUAUUGAUUUUGAGGAUUGUGGAUUGAGGUAUUUUCAUAUGGACCGAUGUUUGGAUGGGUCACGCAUUGCAGCGGGGCUAUGUUGGGAUAUGAUCCUUUGUGUUAGAUUCAUGUGUCUUAGUCCUACUAUGGGUGAUGGGGUUCAUAGCAUUGAGUUGUGGUGGUACUUGUUGAGCUUGCGGGAUGGUUCUCUCAUUUGAGUCAUUUUCCAUGAUUGAAUACAUUUGAAAUGUUUCUUAUUGGUGCACGGAUUACACGGUUUAUGGCUUUAGGUUGUAUUGGUAUGGCAUGUCAAUAGAAUGGUUGUGUUGGAUGAGAUGAGGUCAUUGGACCUAGAAUGGGUAGUAUCAGAUUUGAUUACAGUAUGUAUGGAGAAAUAAUUUUAGAAGUCAGCUUAGAAUUUGGCUUUGGGUUCUUCCACGACUUGUUAAUAUGAUAGGUGGUUAUGAGUUUCUAUAUGUUUCUUUCAUCAUUGGCAGUGUACGAAGGUUCAGAACAAGAUUUUAAUUGAUAUGAGGUUUGUUAUCGGUGUCGGGUUUAUUUUGAACAACUAUUGUGAUUGGGAAUUAGUGCUAUGAGUAUGCGAGUUGUAUGGUAUACAUGUGAUUACAUCUUGGGUUAUGGUUAUGGCUUGAUACGGUUUGGUCAGACUUAUAUAGUGUGUAAAUGCGAGAUUCGAGUCUUGCAAGGAAUUUCAGGUGUUGGGAAUUGGGUUCUAAGGCUUAUGGUCUAAUGUUAAAGUAAUGAUCUUCAGUUAGGUUGUGUUGUCAGGCUUAUAUGGAUUGGGGUGGUGUGGGAUCACCCCCGGGAAUGUGCAUGGUAAGGUUACAUGGCAAUUUGAUGGCUUUGGAACGACUCUUGGCACGUUCGAGGACGAACAUAUGUUUAAGUGGGGGAGAAUGUAACGAUCCAGUCGGUAGUUUUGGGCAUUUGCAUUCCAUUCAGCUAUUUGAAGACUUGAGCAGCAUCGUAUGAUGUAUUAUGACUUGUUUGAAUCGUCGGUUUUGAUUUUCAGGUUAUUCGGAAGAAUGAUUCUCAACUAAGAAGCUUUAAGUUGGAAGAGUUGGCCAAGUUUGAAUUUUGAGUAUUUAACCCCGGAUCGGAGUUUUGAUGGUUCUGUUAGGUUCGGAUGGUGAUUUUUUACUCGGGCAUAUAUCCGGAUUCGCAUUUGGAUAUUUCUAGAAGGUUUCGACACUAAUUGGCGAAAGUUGGAAAUUUGAAGGUUUGGAAUGUUCAUAAGUUUGACUUGGAGUUGACUUUGAUGAUAUCAGGUACGGAUUGUGGUUUCAAAAAUUAAAAUAGCUUCGUUAUGUCAUUUGGGACUUGUGUGCAAAAUUUGAGUUCAUUCCGAGUUGAUUUGAUAAGGUUCGGCACGAGUUUUGGAAGUUGAAAGAUUCAAAGUUCAUUAAGUUCGAUUUGAGGUGCGAUUCAUAGUUUUGAUAAUGUUAAGCGUGAUUUGACGCCUCGAGUAAGCCCGUGUUAUGUUAUGGGACUUGUUGGUAUGUUCGGACGAGGUCCCGAGGGGCUCGGAUGAGUUUCUGAUAUGUUUGGAUUGUGUUGCGCUCGUUUUUGAUGUUUCGACGUCGUUUCUUCAGCAUAAAUGGUACCACAUUAAGCAAAUGAGCUCCAAUAUCUGUUUUGAUUGAAGCAUUAGAUUCGUAUCGUAAUUUUGGAAUCAUAGAAACUGGAAUCAUCAACUUCGACAUCAUAAGAGAAAUUUAUGGUCAUUUUACUAAGAAUUGGGUUGCUAGAUUUUUCAAAUUAAUUACAAAUUUGCCACUGAAUUCGUAUUUAAAAAUUUGCAUUAUUUCCAAAUAUUGAAACCAAUAUAUCUCCUCCAAUAUAAGGUCAAAUGGAGUAAUUCAAGAGCCUAACUUGACUAGAAUUUCUUAAGGAAUCCAUUUGAGGCAUUAAAAGGAAGUUUCGGGAUUAUUUGUCAUAAGAAACGAGGCAGAACAGUAUUAAAUCGAGGGUUUGGUUCUUCAUAUUUUGAGAUUUGGGGCUCGUAUUGAGGUGAUUCUUGAAGUAAUUUUCAUCACACAGAUUGGGGUAAAUGUUCUAUACUCGGUUUUGAUUAUAUUUUGCGAAUCUAUCUUCAUUUUGGUAAUUGGUUGAUGAAUUUUAAAGAGGAAAUUGGGUUUUUUUUUGUCUAAAAUUUCAUAGAUCGAAUUUUUGAGUUUUGAAUACCGAUUUGGAGUCGGAAUUGAAUGAAACUAGUAUGGUUGGACUCGUAAUUGAAUGAGUUAUCGAAUUUUAUAAGUUUUGUCUAGUUCUGAGAUGUGGACCCGGGUUUGACUUUUUGGCCGAUUUUGGGCUUUUGAGUAAAGAUUCGACCUUUAUCAAUUGGAAUUGUUUUCCUAGGCAUUAUUUGAUAUUCUUGAGUUGCUUUUGGCUAGUUUCGAACCGUUCGGAGAUCGGUACACGCGGGAUGGUAUUUUGGGAGUAUCGUUUGGCUUGCUCAAUAUUGGAUUCGGCUUGUUCGAGGUAAGGAACACUUCUAAACUUGGUGCUGAGGUUAUGAAAUCCUGAAUUACGUGUUAUGUGUUUGAUAUUGGGGUGACGCACAUGCUAGGUGACGGGCGUGUGGGCGUGCACCGUGUGAAUUGUGACUCCGUUAUUUUUGUGGUACUGUGUUGUUACCUGAUCUUAUGUGUAACCAUGUAAUCUCUACGUACUAGAGCUAUUGAGUUGUGUUCCAUGUUAGAAACCAUGUCUAGGCUACAUGCUUAUUCUGUUGGGACCCACUGAGGUUAUUUCUACUGUUGAGUUAGUUGCUUACAUUGCAAUUAUAUACUCAAUCGUAUGCAUUCAUAUGCAUAUCAUAUCUCAGUCUCUGUUACUAUUUAUUGAUACAUCACAUCAUUAUUUUGGACUGAUUUCAUGAUACUGUGAGCCCGAGAAACUGGAGAGAUUGAUGAUUGAGCGAGGCAGAGAGCCUGAUUGUGAGGAUAUUAAUUUAUGAUGGGAGCGGGCUACACACCGCAGUAAAUGUUAUUGAUUUAUACCAUGAUUGACUUAUUAUAGCGCUUGGGCUGAAGGAGCACCUCCGGAGUCUGUACACACUCCCAGUGAGCGGAGUACCUAUUAAGUGCGAGUGCGAGUGCGAGUGCCGAGAGCGAGUGCCGAGUGAUUGGGAGGACUGAGUGAAUUGAUACUCUGAGAGUAUGCAUAUGAUUUUAUCACCGAGUUGCAUCGCAUUCGACAUGCACACUUGACAUACAGGCAUAGAGAUGCAUUUUCCUCAUGUUGUACGGUAUCACAUCAUUCAUGACUUCUCAUACACAUUGAUAUGUAGGCGUAGAGAUGUAUUUUCCUCAUGCCAUUUGAGAAUAAAACAUCUUUUUGUUGUUGAAACGAUUGGAAAAAAAUCACAGUUUUACAAACCUACUCAUAUUUUGAUGAUUUCGGUAAAAGAAUUGGGUUUUCACUGAUGUACUUGAAAAGCAUGCCUAUUUUUUCGGAACUGUGAACGAGUUGAGCAUCUUAUAUCUGAGUACUUUUCUUGUACCAUUCUUAUUAUUUUGUUAUGAACAGUUAUUGGCUAUUGGUGUUGGACUCCCACCUUUGUUCCAGCUCGUCACUACUUUCAACCUAAGGUUAGGCUUGUUACUUAUUGAGUACAUGGGGUCGGUUGUACUCAUACUACACUUCUGCAGCUUGAGUGCAAAUUUGGAUGCUGACGUUGAUGUGCAUGACGGGAGCUAGCAUUGAAGACGUACCUGCAUUCUGUUAUAGCUGCCUCUUGUUCAUGGUAGCUCUAGACUUACGAAAAAUCUGUUUAUGUAUUAUUCGGACAGAUGAUGUAUUUAUUCUGCACUAGCUUUCUAAACUCUAAAUCUUAGAAGCUCAUGAUUUGUACUACCAGCCCUUGGAAAAUUUUUGUAUAAAAGCAAUUGUAUUAUCAAUUCUUUUCUUGAUAAAUCUCAUUAAUUUGGAUAGUUGUUAAUUGGCUUAUCUAGCGGUUUGGGUUAGGUGUCAUCACGACUAGUUGGAUUUUGGGUCGUGACAACUACUAUGUAAAAUAUUUUACAAUAAUAUUAAAG
rnacentral:lncRNA from 1 species